GCCUGAGAGGCUCAGUCGGUUGAGCAUCUGACUUCGGCUCAGAUCAUGUUCUCGCGGUCUGUGAGUUCGAGCCCCACUUUGGGCU
rnacentral:tRNA from 1 species